AGCAUGUGGUUUAAUUCGAUGAUACGCGAAGAACCUUACCGGGGUUUGACAUGCAGGUGAUCGCCGUUGAAAGACGGUUUCCUCUUUCGGAGGCACCUGCACAGGUGCUGCAUGGCUGUCGUCAGCUCGUGUCGUGAGAUGUUGGGUUAAGUCCCGCAACGAGCGCAACCCUUUAUUCUUAGUUGUUUUCCCUUUGGGAUUACCCUCUAAGAAGACUGCCUCGGAUAACGGGGAGGAAGGUGGGAUGACGUCAAGUCCGCAUGCUCCUUACGUCUAGGGCUACACACGUCCUACAAUGGGGUCGACAAUGGGAUGCGAUAUCGCAAGAUGGAGCCAACCCCCAAACGGCCUCUCAGUUCGGAUUGUAGUCUGCAACUCGACUACAUGAAGUUGGAAUCGCUAGUAAUGGCAGAUCAGCAUGCUGCCGUGAAUACGUUCCCGGGUCUU
rnacentral:rRNA from 1 species